GUAAGACAGUGGUGAAAUCCCCGGGCUCAACCUGGGAACUGCCAUUGUGACUGCAAGGCUGGAGUGCGGCAGAGGGGGAUGGAAUUCCGCGUGUAGCAGUGAAAUGCGUAGAUAUGCGGAGGAACACCGAUGGCGAAGGCAAUCCCCUGGGCCUGCACUGACGCUCAUGCACGAAAGCGUGGGGAGCAAACAGGAUUAGAUACCCUGGUAGUCCACGCCCUAAACGAUGUCAACUGGUUGUUGGGAAUUUAUUUUCUCAGUAACGAAGCUAACGCGUGAAGUUGACCGCCUGGGGAGUACGGCCGCAAGGUUAAAACUCAAAGGAAUUGACGGGGACCCGCACAAGCGGUGGAUGAUGUUCUUUAAUUCGAUGCAACGCGAAAAACCUUACCCACCUUUGACAUGUAUGGAAUCCUUUAGAGAUGAAGGAGUGCUCGAAAGAGAGCCAUAACACAGGUGCUGCAUGGCUGUCGUCAGCUCGUGUCGUGAGAUGUUGGGUUAAGUCCCGCAACGAGCGCAACCCUUGCCAUUAGUUGCUACGAAAGGGCACUCUAAUGGGACUGCCGGUGACAAACCGGAGGAAGGUGGGGAUGACGUCAAGUCCUCAUGGCCCUUAUAGGUGGGGCUAGAAACGUCAUACAAUGGCCGGUACAAAGGGUAGCCAAGCCGCGAGGUGGAGCCAAUCCCAUAAAGCCGGUCGUAGUCCGGAUCGCAGUCUGCAACUCGACUGCGUGAAGUCGGAAUCGCUAGUAAUCGUGGAUCAGCAUGCCACGGUGAAUACGUUCCCGGGUCUUGUACACACCGCCCGUCACACCAUGGGAGCGGGUCUCGCCAGAAGUAGGUAGCCUAACCGCAAGGAGGGC
rnacentral:rRNA from 1 species